CCUGGUGGCUCAGAGGGUAAAGCGUCUGCCUACAAUGCAGGAGACCCAGGUUCAAUCCAUGGGUCAGGA
rnacentral:tRNA from 1 species